AACGCGAAGAACCUUACCUGGGCUCGAACGGCUUAAGACCAUCUUUGGAAACAGAGACUUCCCGCAAGGGACUUGAGUCGAGGUGCUGCAUGGCUGUCGUCAGCUCGUGUCGUGAGAUGUUGGGUUAAGUCCCGCAACGAGCGCAACCCUCAUCCCUAGUUGCCAUCGGGUCAAGCCGGGCACUCUAGUGAAACCGCCCCGGAUAACGGGGAGGAAGGUGGGGAUGACGUCAAGUCCUCAUGGCCUUUAUGUCCAGGGCUACACACGUGCUACAAUGGUCGGUACAAACCGUCGCAAAACUGCAAAGUGGAGCUAAUCGGAAAAAGCCGACCUCAGUUCGGAUUGGAGUCUGCAACUCGACUCCAUGAAGCUGGAAUCGCUAGUAAUCGCAGAUCAGAACGCUGCGGUGAAUACGUUCCCGGGCCUUGUACACACCGCGCAUA
rnacentral:rRNA from 1 species